UGGUUUGAAGCAGUAAGUAGGAAUCGCAGCUAUGAUUUAUUCAACAUCUGUAAUAUGCCUCUUGCUAUACUGGGGUGCUUAGUGUUAGUUAACUCAUUUAUUCCUCCUAGCGGCCAUAAGGUAGGAGAUAUUAUCUACUUUUAUAGAUGACAGAGCUGCACAAAGCAAGUAGGUAGAACUUUCCAAUGUUACUAAGGUAGUAAGGGCUAAGUUCAGGAUUAAACUCAGCUCAAGAAGACUCUACUAGCAACUGAUAGAGUGUUCAGGAAGGAAAACAACCCAAAUGUUGAGCCAGGCCUCUAAAUAUCAUUCUGCCUUGGCUCUUGGAUGCAAUUCUUCACUGUCUCUUGGUUCUCUAAUGACUUUAAGCAGAUUCUUUUUUUUUUUUUUUGGCCUGGCUUUUCUAGUUCUCCAUGAAGUGACUGGUAUGAUUUAAUCUAGGCACUAUUACUACUUACAAGUAUGCAAGUGGGUUUUAGAGAAAAUUCAGUAAGAGCAGUUUUAAUAUAUCGUGGAAAUAUCAAAUAUUAGAUACAUAGGUCCAGUGUAAGAAGAAAGGUUGGGUCAUAAAUAUAUAUAUAUAUUUGAGUAUCAUCAUUUUGUUGGUAAUAUUCUAAGUCUUGGGAGUAAAUGAAAUUGGUGAAUACAGAAGAAGAACAGAAAAUCUAGAACCAAUUGUUGAAAAAUUCCAAAAUUUAGAGUUCUGGUGGAAGAGGUAAUUGAGAGGAAUAGUCAGGAAGAUGGGAGGAAAAUAAAUGUUUCACAAAAGCCCAGAAGAAAACACAAAAGGUGAUUCAGGAAUGAGUGUUCAAAUAUACCAGAUGCUACUCAGAGGAUAGGUGAGAUGAGACAAAGUGGCCUGCUGAUUUGAAAAUAUGUAGGUAAAUAAUGACCUCAAUAAUAACUUUUUAAACUUUGGGUGAGUAGUAGAGAUAGACUCCAGACUGGAGCAGAUAGAAAAAUGAAUGAGGAAACUUCAGCCAUGAAUGAGGAGAAGCAAAGUCAAGGGAAGA
rnacentral:lncRNA from 1 species